AAUUCGAGAACAUUCAUCUGACAAUUUGAAUUGACAAAUUGUCACUGACAAUCUGACAAUCCAAGUGUUUGGAUUCACUGUGACAAGGCAACAUAGAGUUGAAAGAAAUGGUAAAGCACAUAUAGACACUGGAACAUGCCUGAGGCCUUGGCCGAGGAUGUGUACCACAAGGCCCUGAGCCAUGUGACUGUGUGAUGGGGCCCGGUUCCUGAUGCCAUCUGAAACCGACCUGCACAUUGGUAUCAUCACCUGAAGAUGCUGAGGCCCUGAGCUAUGUAACUGGGUGGUGGGGCCCGGAUCCUGACGCCAUCUGAAACCCGCCUCAGCCCUUGGGGCCCUGACAACUUUGGCACAGAGCAGGGCAAGCCAGGAGCCCAGUGGGCGGUAACCCUGGGUCUGGAGACCGGGGGGAAAAGUAAAAUGCCUCAGCCCAGCACUCAUCUUCUCGCUGUAUGUGGCUCUUCCAGGCCUCCUCCUAGCCUCGAGGCUCUGUGCACAAGCCAAGAAACACACACCGUGCGCCAGAGCACGAUCUAACCCCAAACUCAACUCAUUCUCUCUGACUCUCCAACUCCUGCUAUCCUUCUGUGUUUCAAACACCCCACCCUAGUUUGAUCCACAGCUCACUAGUCCCCACGGGGUACAAGCAAGGAGGUCAGCUGCCAGAGGGCACUCAACAAAUACAAAUGCCUGGCUGGCUGACUUCCACUGAAAGAACCUGUGGCACACAGAUAUCUCCCCAGAUGCUAACUAGCCAUCUCCCCAAUCCCUUCUUAUCCCUCCCCUCCCCAGGUUUUCAUAGAGAUCAAGGUUCAGAAUGAAGGGAGAAAUGGGAGAAAGGAUUCUGAGUGGGAUAUAUGUGUACUAAUCAGGCAAAUACCCUAAGCAGCAGCAAGUGAAAGCGAGGGUAUGUGUGGAAAGAUGUGGGGAACUGUUAAAUGGUGAGGCCAAUCUCAAUUUUUUCACCCAAACUCUUGGCAAACCUGUAUCUCCUUUCCCAAAACACCCAACUGAUGUAAUGCAAUCAUAACACAUAAUCAUGUUUAAGUGGCAUUUGAGAAACAGUGUUACCUAGUGGAACAAGUGCACUGGCUUGGGUGUUAGAGAGCUUGGGUUCUAAUC